rnacentral:rRNA from 1 species
AAAUGGUACCGUAACUUCGGGAGAAGGUACGCUCUUGAUGGUGAAGUCCCUCGCGGAUGGAGCUGACGAGAGUCGCAGAUACCAGGUGGCUGCAACUGUUUAUUAAAAACACAGCACUGUGCAAAAUCGCAAGAUGACGUAUACGGUGUGACGCCUGCCCGGUGCCGGAAGGUUAAUUGAUGGGGUUAGCGCAAGCGAAGCUCUUGAUCGAAGCCCCGGUAAACGGCGGCCGUAACUAUAACGGUCCUAAGGUAGCGAAAUUCCUUGUCGGGUAAGUUCCGACCUGCACGAAUGGCGUAAUGAUGGCCACGCUGUCUCCACCCGAGACUCAGUGAAAUUGAAAUCGCUGUGAAGAUGCAGUGUACCCGCGGCUAGACGGAAAGACCCCGUGAACCUUUACUACAGCUUGGCACUGAACAUUGAACCUACAUGUGUAGGAUAGGUGGGAGGCUAUGAAGACGUGACGCCAGUUGCGUUGGAGCCGUCCUUGAAAUACCACCCUUGUAUGUUUGAUGUUCUAACUUAGACCCGUUAUCCGGGUUGAGGACAGUGCCUGGUGGGUAGUUUGACUGGGGCGGUCUCCUCCCAAAGAGUAACGGAGGAGCACGAAGGUGGGCUAAUCACGGUUGGACAUCGUGAGGUUAGUGCAAUGGCAUAAGCCCGCUUAACUGCGAGAAUGACGGUUCGAGCAGGUGCGAAAGCAGGUCAUAGUGAUCCGGUGGUUCUGUAUGGAAGGGCCAUCGCUCAACGGAUAAAAGGUACUCCGGGGAUAACAGGCUGAUACCGCCCAAGAGUUCAUAUCGACGGCGGUGUUUGGCACCUCGAUGUCGGCUCAUCACAUCCUGGGGCUGAAGUCGGUCCCAAGGGUAUGGCUGUUCGCCAUUUAAAGUGGUACGCGAGCUGGGUUUAGAACGUCGUGAGACAGUUCGGUCCCUAUCUGCCGUGGGCGUUGGAAGAUUGAAGGGGGCUGCUCCUAGUACGAGAGGACCGGAGUGGACGAACCUCUGGUGUUCGGGUUGUGUCGCCAGACGCAUUGCCCGGUAGCUAAGUUCGGAAUUGAUAAGCGCUGAAAGCAUCUAAGCGCGAAGCGAGCCCUGAGAUGAGUCUUCCCUGAUACUUUAAGUAUCCUAAAGGGUUGUUCGAGACUAGAACGUUGAUAGGCAGGGUGUGUAAGCGUUGUGAGGCGUUGAGCUAACCUGUACUAAUUGCCCGUGAGGCUUAACCAUACAACACCCAAGGGGUUUUGUA